rnacentral:rRNA from 1 species
CAUGUAGGCGGGCUUUUAAGUCUGACGUGAAAAUGCGGGGCUUAACCCCGUAUGGCGUUGGAUACUGGAAGUCUUGAGUGCAGGAGAGGAAAGGGGAAUUCCCAGUGUAGCGGUGAAAUGCGUAGAUAUUGGGAGGAACACCAGUGGCGAAGGCGCCUUUCUGGACUGUGUCUGACGCUGAGAUGCGAAAGCCAGGGUAGCAAACG